GAGGUAGUUGUUCAGUCGUAGAACACUUGCCUUGAAGGCCUGGGAGUCUAGGUUUGAUUCCUAGUACUUUA
rnacentral:tRNA from 1 species